GACGGAGGAUGCAAGCGUUAUCCGGAAUGAUUGGGCGUAAAGCGUCUGCAGGUGGCAGUUCAAGUCUGCUGUCAAAGACCGGGGCUUAACUUCGGAAAGGCAGUGGAAACUGAACAGCUAGAGUAUGGUAGGGGCAGAGGGAAUUCCUGGUGUAGCGGUGAAAUGCGUAGAGAUCAGGAAGAACAUCGGUGGCGAAGGCGGAUCUCUGGGCCUUACCUGACGCUGAGGAGCGAAAGCAUGGGGAGCGAACAGG
rnacentral:rRNA from 1 species